AUUGAACGCUGGCGGCAUGCUUUACACAUGCAAGUCGGACGAGUGGCGAACGGGUGAGUAACAUAUCGGAACGUACCGAGUAAUGGGGGAUAACUAAUCGAAAGAUUAGCUAAUACCGCAUAUUAUUCGAGCGGCCGAUAUCUGAUUAGCUGGUUGGUGGGGUAAAGGCCUACCAAGGCGACGAUCAGUAGCGGGUCUGAGAGGAUGAUCCGCCACACUGGGACUGAGACACGGCCCAGACUCCUACGGGAGGCAGCAGUGGGGAAUUUUGGACAAUGGGCGCAAGCCUGAUCCAGCCAUGCCGCGUGUCUGAAGAAGGCCUUCGGGUUGUAAAGCUCUGUUAAUCGGGACGCGGUACCGGAAUAGAAAGCCACGGCUAACUACGUGCCAGCAGCCGCGGUAAUUC
rnacentral:rRNA from 1 species